rnacentral:misc_RNA from 1 species
GGGUUUCACACUGGUCGGCUUCCACAUCGUGACUUUGCCUCCGGCGUGACCUAUACCAAUGAUGGCAUUGUGAGGGUUCACUUGCAUCACAUCUGUCCGCCCGAGACCGGUUCGGUAGUUUGCAACCAUCUCACCAGUGCUUGUGUCGCGGUAGUGCAGUUGACCGAAUUUGUUUAUAGAUGCUAGAAGGGAGUGUUUGUUU